UACGUAGGGGGCUAGCGUUGCUCGGAAUUACUGGGCGUAAAGGGCGCGUAGGCGGAUGGCCCAGUCAGAGGUGAAAUUCCCGGGCUUAACCUGGGGGCUGCAUUUGAUACGUGUGAUCUAGAGUGAGGAAGAGGGUCGUGGAAUUCCCAGUGUAGAGGUGAAAUUCGUAGAUAUUGGGAAGAACACCGGUGGCGAAGGCGGCGACCUGGUCCUUGACUGACGCUGAGGCGCGAAAGCGUGGGGAGCAAACAGG
rnacentral:rRNA from 1 species